rnacentral:lncRNA from 1 species
UCAAACACACUCCUUCACCCAGAGGCAAUGCAGAGUGCUCUUUAUAAUUUUUUUUUAAUAAGUCACAUAAAAUAUAUUUUAACAAUUUUAUUUUCUCCUUAGGCCUCCAAGUAACUUUGAAGUUUGUUUUACACAAGCUCUCACAGAGGCUGUGGGUGAUCAGCUGCAGUCCAGGGAGAGCCCCUGCUCAACUUAACAACCCUCACUCCCACCUAGGACACUGGAGCCAAACCGGAGCUGCUUUCCUGGGGAGGAAACUGAGAAACUGAACCAUAUUCUCUG